CAGCCGCCGCGGUAAUACGUAGGUCCCGAGCGUUGUCCGGAUUUAUUGGGCGUAAAGCGAGCGCAGGCGGUUAGAUAAGUCUGAAGUUAAAGGCUGUGGCUAACCAUAGUACGCUUUGGAAACUGUUUAACUUGAGUGCAAGAGGGGAGAGUGGAAUUCCAUGUGUAGCGGUGAAAUGCGUAGAUAUAUGGAGGAACACCGGUGGCGAAAGCGGCUCUCUGGCUUGUAACUGACGCUGAGGCUCGAAAGCGUGGGGAGCAAACAGGAUUAGAUACCCCCGUAGUCCCUGUCUCUUAUACAC
rnacentral:rRNA from 1 species